UACAGAGGGGGCAAGCGUUAUUCGGAAUUAUUGGGCGUAAAGGGCGCGUAGGCGGCCAUUCAAGUGACGGGUGAAAUCCCUCGGCUUAACCGAGGAACUGCCUGUCAGACUGGAUUGCUUGAGGCCGGGAGAGGCGAGUGGAAUUCCCAGUGUAGCGGUGAAAUGCGUAGAUAUUGGGAGGAACACCAGUGGCGAAGGCGGCCAUCUGGGAGGGCACUGACGCUGAGACGCGAAAGCGUGGGGAGCAAACAGG
rnacentral:rRNA from 1 species